rnacentral:misc_RNA from 1 species
UCAAAACAGCGGACUUCGGUCCUUGCUGCACCCUUGUCUUUUGCGCACCGUAUUGUUUCCUCGGCGGGCUUGCCUGCCGGUUGGACAUUAUCAAAACCUUUUGUAGUUGCAAUCAGCGUCAGAAAAACAAUAAUUAUUA